rnacentral:rRNA from 1 species
GGCGGCGUGCCUAAUACAUGCAAGUCGAACGAGAGCGACCGGUGCUUGCACUGGUCAAUCUAGUGGCGAACGGGUGAGUAACACGUGGGUAACCUGCCCAUCAGAGGGGGAUAACAUCCGGAAACGGAUGCUAAAACCGCAUAGGUCUUCGAGCCGCAUGGCUUGAAGAGGAAAAGAGGCGCAAGCUUCUGCUGAUGGAUGGACCCGCGGUGCAUUAGCUAGUUGGUGAGGUAACGGCUCACCAAGGCCGUGAUGCAUAGCCGACCUGAGAGGGUGAUCGGCCACAUUGGGACUGAGACACGGCCCAAACUCCUACGGGAGGCAGCAGUAGGGAAUCUUCCGCAAUGGACGCAAGUCUGACGGAGCAACGCCGCGUGAGUGAAGAAGGUUUUCGGAUCGUAAAACUCUGUUGUUAGAGAAGAACAAGUGCUAGAGUAACUGUUAGCGCCUUGACG